AUUGAACGCUGGCGGCAGGCUUAACACAUGCAAGUCGAGCGGGGUGAUGGUGCUUGCACUAUCACUUAGCGGCGGACGGGUGAGUAAUGCUUAGGAAUCUGCCUAUUAGUGGGGGACAACAUCUCGAAAGGGAUGCUAAUACCGCAUACGUCCUACGGGAGAAAGCAGGGGAUCACUUGUGACCUUGCGCUAAUAGAUGAGCCUAAGUCGGAUUAGCUAGUUGGUGGGGUAAAGGCCUACCAAGGCGACGAUCUGUAGCGGGUCUGAGAGGAUGAUCCGGCACACUGGGACUGAGACACGGCCCAGACUCCUACGGGAGGCAGCAGUGGGGAAUAUUGGACAAUGGGGGGAACCCUGUUCCAGCCAUGCCGCGUGUGUGAAGAAGGCCUUAUGGUUGUAAAGCACUUUAAGCGAGGAGGAGGCUCUUUUGGUUAAUACCCAAGAUGAGUGGACGUUACUCGCAGAAUAAGCACCGGCUAACUCUGUGCCAGCCGCCGCCGUAA
rnacentral:rRNA from 1 species